AGUAACGGCGAGUGAAGCGGCAACAGCUCAAAUUUGAAAUCUGGCCUCCUUCGGUGGUCCGAGUUGUAAUUUGCAGAGGGUGCCUUGGCGUCGGCAGCGGUCUAAGUUCCUUGGAACAGGACAUCACAGAGGGUGAGAAUCCCGUACGUGGUCGCCUGCCUUCGCCGUGUAAAGCCCCUUCGACGAGUCGAGUUGUUUGGGAAUGCAGCUCUAAAUGGGAGGUAAAUUUCUUCUAAAGCUAAAUACCGGCCAGAGACCGAUAGCGCACAAGUAGAGUGAUCGAAAGAUGAAAAGCACUUUGGAAAGAGAGUCAAACAGCACGUGAAAUUGUUGAAAGGGAAGCGCUUGCAGCCAGACUUGCCCGUAGUUGCUCAUCGGAACUCCUGCUCCGAGCACUCUUCUGCGGGCAGGCCAGCAUCAGUUUGGGCGACCGGAUAAUGGCCUCUGUCAUGUAUCAUCCUUCGGGAUGACCUUAUAGGGGAGUCGUAGUACGGCCAGCCCGGACUGAGGUCCGCGCAUCAGCUAGGAUGCUGGCGUAAUGGCUGUAAGCGGCCCGUCUUGAAACACGGACCAAGGAGUCUAACAUCUAUGCGAGUGUUUGGGUGUCAAGCCCGGGCGCGUAAUGAAAGUGAACGGAGGUGGGAACCCUCUCGGGGGUGCACCAUCGACCGAUCCUGAUGUCUUCGGAUGGAUUUGAGUAAGAGCAUGGCUGUUGGGACCCGAAAGAUGGUGAACUAUGCUUGAAUAGGGUGAAGCCAGAGGAAACUCUGGUGGAGGCUCGCAGCGGUUCUGACGUGCAAAUCGAUCGUCAAAUUUGGGCAUAGGGGCGAAAGACUAAUCGAAC
rnacentral:rRNA from 1 species